UACGGAGGGUGCAAGCGUUAUCCGGAUUCACUGGGUUUAAAGGGUGCGUAGGUGGGUAUGUAAGUCAGUGGUGAAAUCCCCGAGCUUAACUUGGGAACUGCCGUUGAUACUAUAUAUCUUGAAUAUCGCGUAGGUAAGCGGAAUAUGUCAUGUAGCGGUGAAAUGCUUAGAUACGACAUAGAACACCAAUUGCGAAGGCAGCCCACUACGCAACUAUUGACGCUGAGGCACGAAAGCGUGGGGAUCAAACAGG
rnacentral:rRNA from 1 species